rnacentral:tRNA from 5 species
GGGCCUAUAGCUCAAUUGGCAGAGCAGCGGACUUUUAAUCCGCGGGUUCUGGGUUCGAUUCCCAGUGGGCCCACCA